GACGAACGCUGGCGGCGUGCUUAACACAUGCAAGUCGAACGGAAAGGCCCUGCUUUUGUGGGGUGCUCGAGUGGCGAACGGGUGAGUAACACGUGAGUAACCUGCCCUUGACUUUGGGAUAACUUCAGGAAACUGGGGCUAAUACCGGAUAGGAGCUCCUGCUGCAUGGUGGGGGUUGGAAAGUUUCGGCGGUUGGGGAUGGACUCGCGGCUUAUCAGCUUGUUGGUGGGGUAGUGGCUUACCAAGGCUUUGACGGGUAGCCGGCCUGAGAGGGUGACCGGCCACAUUGGGACUGAGAUACGGCCCAGACUCCUACGGGAGGCAGCAGUGGGGAAUAUUGCACAAUGGGCGGAAGCCUGAUGCAGCAACGCCGCGUGCGGGAUGACGGCCUUCGGGUUGUAAACCGCUUUCGCCUGCGACGAAGCGUGAGUGACAGUAAUGGGUAAAGAAGCACCGGCUAACUACGUG
rnacentral:rRNA from 1 species